rnacentral:rRNA from 1 species
GACGAACGCUGGCGGCGUGCUUAACACAUGUAAGUCGAACGGAAAGGCCUGCUUUCCCUUGUGGAUUGCGGGUACUCGAGUGGCGAACGGGUGAGUAACACGUGAGUGAUCUGCCCCCAACUUGGGUAUAAGCCUGGGAAACUGGGUCUAAUUCCCGAUAGGACUGCAGGGUGGUGCCUGUGGUGGAAAACGAUUUUCUAGUGGUUGGGGAUGAGCUCGCGGCCUAUCAGCUUGUUGGUGGGGUAAUGGCCUACCAAGGCGGCGACGGGUAGCCGGCCUGAGAGGGUGGACGGCCACAUUGGGACUGAGAUACGGCACAGACUCCUACGGGAGGCAGCAGUGGGGAAUAUUACACAAUGGGCGGAAGCCUGAUGCAGCGACGCCGCGUGGGGGAUGACGGCCUUCGGGUUGUAAACUCCUUUCGACCGCGAGGAAGCCACCUGGUUGGAAGGGUGGUGACGGUAGUGGUAGAAGAAGCACCGGCUAACUACGUG